rnacentral:rRNA from 1 species
UAAUACGAAGGGGGCUAGCGUUGUUCGGAAUUACUGGGCGUAAAGCGAACGUAGGCGGUGUUCCAUGUCAGAGGUGAAAGCCUGGGGCUCAACUCCAGAAUUGCCUUUGAAACGGGAACGCUUGAGUCCGAGAGAGGAUGGCGGAAUUCCUAGUGUAGAGGUGAAAUUCGUAGAUAUUAGGAAGAACACCGGUGGCGAAGGCGGCCAUCUGGCUCGGUACUGACGCUCAGGUUCGAAAGCGUGGGGAGCAAACAGG